GUCUUAUGUUAAUNUUAUAUAAAGUCUAAUCUGCUCUAUGUAAGAUUAAUGGCCGCAGUAUUUUGACUGUGCUAAGGUAGCAUAAUAAAUAGUCCAUUAAUUGUGGUCUGGAAUGAAUGAUUGAAUGAAGAUUAACUUUUAAUUAAUAAAGAUGAAUUUUAAUAAUUAGUAAAAAUGCUAAUUUAAUUUAAAAAGACGAGAAGACCCUAUUAAAUUUUAUAUUGAACUUAAUAUUGUUUGGUAAUAUAAUAUAAAGUAAUAAUGUUUGACUGGGGCGGUUUUAAACUAUUAAACGUUUAAUAAAUUGUUCUAUUAUAAUAGAAUUUUGAUCCAUUAUUAAUGAUUGGGAAAACAAAUUACUAUAGGGAUAACAGCGUAAUUUCAUUGGAGAGUUCAUAUUGAUAAUGAAGAUUGCGACCUCGAUGUUGGAUUAAAAUUCCUUUUUGAUGCAGGAGUUAAAGAAGGUGGUCUGUUCGACCAUUAAAAUUUUACA
rnacentral:rRNA from 1 species